rnacentral:rRNA from 1 species
GAUCCUGGCUCAGGAUGAACGCUAGCUACAGGCUUAACACAUGCAAGUCGAGGGGCAGCAUGGUCUUAGCUUGCUAAGGCCGAUGGCGACCGGCGCACGGGUGAGUAACACGUAUCCAACCUGCCGUCUACUCUUGGACAGCCUUCUGAAAGGAAGAUUAAUGCCCGAUGGUUUCAAGGGAUUGCAUGGUAUCUUGAAUAAAGAUUCAUCGGUAUGCGAUGGGG